UACGAAGGUGGCAAGCGUUGUUCGGAUUUACUGGGCGUAAAGAGAGCGUAGGCGGUUAGGUAAGCCCUGUGGGAAAUCUUCCGGCUUAACCGGGAAAGUUCGCAGGGAACUGCUUAGCUAGAGGACGGGAGAGGAGCGCGGAAUUCCCGGUGUAGCGGUGAAAUGCGUAGAGAUCGGGAGGAAGGCCGGUGGCGAAGGCGGCGCUCUGGAACGUGCCUGACGCUGAGGCUCGAAAGCGUGGGGAGCAAACAGG
rnacentral:misc_RNA from 1 species